rnacentral:piRNA from 1 species
UUCCACAGAAGAGUUCUGUAACUACAGA